GUGUCAGCAGCCGCGGUAAUACGGAGGGGGUUAGCGUUGUUCGGAAUUACUGGGCGUAAAGCGCGCGUAGGCGGAUUGGAAAGUUGGGGGUGAAAUCCCGGGGCUCAACCCCGGAACUGCCUCCAAAACUUCCAGUCUGGAGUUCGAGAGAGGUGAGUGGAAUUCCGAGUGUAGAGGUGAAAUUCGUAGAUAUUCGGAGGAACACCAGUGGCGAAGGCGGCUCACUGGCUCGAUACUGACGCUGAGGUGCGAAAGUGUGGGGAGCAAACAGGACUAGAUACCCUGGUAGUCCACAGCGUAAACGAUGAAUGCCAGUCGUCGGGCAGCAUGCUGUUCGGUGACACACCUAACGGAUUAAGCAUUCCGCCUGGGGAGUACGGCCGCAAGGUUAAAACUUAAAGGAAUUGACGGGG
rnacentral:rRNA from 1 species